CGCGUAGGCGGCUUUGUAAGUUAGAGGUGAAAGCCCGGAGCUCAACUCCGGAACUGCCUUUAAGACUGCAUCGCUUGAACGUCGGAGAGGUAAGUGGAAUUCCGAGUGUAGAGGUGAAAUUCGUAGAUAUUCGGAAGAACACCAGUGGCGAAGGCGACUUACUGGACGACUGUUGACGCUGAGGUGCGAAAGCGUGGGGAGCAAACA
rnacentral:rRNA from 1 species